AGUGAACUUCGUUUAAAGUGAAAAUCCUUAUGUGCCUGGGCUCGGCACAUAAUAUUAUAACGGAUAGCGGGAAUAGCU
rnacentral:sRNA from 2 species